rnacentral:miRNA from 1 species
AACCUCAUUGACCAGAAGGGAUUCCUUCCAGUCAAUGAGGUAUAACAACCUCAUCUACCCGAAGGGAUUCCUUCCGGGCAAUGAGGUA